UUUAGUACUGCGGAGAUCUUUCGACUAUUGAACUUAUGUGUUCAUCUUGUUCUACUGUCGGUGGCGGCGUGCCUCACGGCGUGUCGUCGCCUAACAGUGCUGUUGUUGAAACGGCUUGGCGUGCUCUAGAGUGGCACAGCGCUGGCAGGGCCAGUUGGGGGCUUAAGCCAGUGUCUGCUGUCGUACGCGCCGAGCCAGAUACUUGACUACUGUGUCGAGGUGCCUAGAAGCACUCGUCUGUCACUGUCAAUGCACAUGCAGUGGCGCGAAGGACGGGGCGCAAGUGCCAGACUCGUGCGCUGUUACGCGAGUCGAGAGCGCAAGGCUCAAAGAGUCAGGCUCGAGCCAGCCGUUGCACACUACUUCGGCUGGCUGGCUCAGGCAUGCUGACGUGACUUUCGAGUUGCGCCAGUGUGUACUGCAGCUCCCAUCAUGAGACUGACCGCCUCACACCAACUCAUUCUCUUUUCUGAAUUACUCGUAAUAUUGAAAUCUUGUUGUUAAUUCACGGGAAUUGAUAUACAACUCUAGGCGGUGGAUCACUCGGCUCGUGCGUCGAUGAAGAGCGCAGCAAACUGCGUGAAGUAGUGUGAAUUGCAGGACACCUUGAUCAUCGACAUCUCGAACGCACCUUGCGGCCGAGGUUUCUAGCCUCGGCCACGUCUGUCUGAGGGUCGGCAUACUCUUAGGAGUAACCGCAGUGUAAUGCGGUUUGUUCAGCGGUUCAUCAGUGUGCGUAUUCGUACGCAACACGGAUGCCGUUGUAAAUUGUUGACUGCGCCAGCCUGCGUCGUUGCUUAUGCGCGGGUAUUUAAUUGGACUAGGCGUGCGUUGGCAGGUCUCUGUCGUUGCUUAUUGCAGAGAACUCGUCCUGUCGUUGCUUAUGCAGGCGAGCCAGCUGACGUGCAGACUUGGUCCAGGUGCACCAGUGAAGUAAUUGCCUACCAAUCACGGCUCAGAUCAGCGGAUCCAUCCAAGG
rnacentral:rRNA from 1 species